rnacentral:misc_RNA from 1 species
UCCGCUUUAUCAGCGGCAGUCUCUUUAAAGUGCGCUGCAUCCGAAGACGCAGGGGGCAACUAAAGAUAAGGGUUGCGCUCGUUGCGGGACUUAACCCAACAUCUCACGACACGAGCUGACGACAGCCAUGCAACACCUGUGUAUCAGCCUCUUGCGAGGGGUCCAAGCUUUCACAAGGAUUUCUAACACAUGUCAAGUCUGGGUAAGGUUCCACGCGUAUCGUCGUAUUAAACCACAUGCUCCACCGUUUGUGCGGGUCCCCGUCAAUUCCUUUGGGUUUCAGCCUUGCGACCGUACUCCCCAGGCGGAUCACUUAAUGCGUAAGCUGCGGCACCGAAAGGUUUAACCCUCCCAACACCUAGUGAUCAUCGUUUACAGCUAGGACUA